UGUGCAUAUGAAGAUGAACAGACAGGGACAUCAGAUCUCCAAAGAGAAUGAUGAUUUGUCAGAUGGGAAUCUCUCUGAUGCACA
rnacentral:snoRNA from 1 species